CAGCAAAUUGAGCAGAGUUAAAUUUCUGGUGUUAAUAAAGAUAGAGUCAAUCGAACUCUAUUUGGAAUUGAUCUAAAUCUGUAUGUUGUUAAAUCUGUUUGAUUUCACACUGCACCACAAAAGAGUUGGUGUCAAAAUGGAGUGUUAUUACUGUUAUUGUGAAACCAACUCUAUGGGUCGUCAGUCUCUCAGCUCGGGUGUAAGGAGUGACUACCCUCUGGCAUCGCGCGAACAAUAAUCUCGUGAGAGCAACAAUCUGGCGGGAUUCAAGUAAUUUACCUGCACAACUCAACUGGAACGCAACGAGCAGCACAACGUUUUCGAGGAGAGUUUGUUCAAAAUUGAAGAAAACGUGUUGCAUUGUGUCGGAAAUGUUGGCUAAAGUGGAAAUUGGAGGGGUCCUAAAAUACGUGAAAAUUCCAGAGACUGAUGGAUUUUUUCAAUUUGAUAUGUUCCUUCAAGAAGAUCUGGAUGUUGAGCUGGUUGCAGAUCAAGCAUCCUCCUCUGUAUUGACAUCGCUGUCCCCAACUUCAUCCCAUUCAUCCUUGGUAGUGGCACAGACUGCACUAUCCCCAGCUUUAUCCCAUUCAUCUGAUUCCACCGUUAUUCUGGAGUCCACAAGAAAAAGGAGGAACCCAACAGGGUUAAUGGACCAGAAUGAAGCAAAACAGAUGGUUGAGGGUGUUCUGAGGGCCAAUCCAAAGGGUGAAGAAGUCUUUAAUGAGUAUGAU
ensembl:lncRNA